GGGAACGUGCCCUCCGGUCUGGGAUAACCCUGGGAAACUAGGGCUAAUACCGGAUACGUGCUAUGGCAGAAAGGUUUACUGCCGGAGGAUCGGCCCGCGUCUGAUUAGCUAGUUGGUGGGGUAACGGCCUACCAAGGCGACGAUCAGUAGCUGGUCUGAGAGGAUGAUCAGCCACACUGGGACUGAGACACGGCCCAGACUCCUACGGGAGGCAGCAGUGGGGAAUAUUGGACAAUGGGCGCAAGCCUGAUCCAGCCAUGCCGCGUGAGUGAUGACGGCCUUAGGGUUGUAAAGCUCUUUUCUCCGGGACGAUAAUGACGGUACCGGAGGAAUAAGCCCCGGCUAACUUCGUGCCAGCAGCCGCGGUAAUACGAAGGGGGCUAGCGUUGCUCGGAAUCACUGGGCGUAAAGGGCGCGUAGGCGGCGUUUUAAGUCGGGGGUGAAAGCCU
rnacentral:rRNA from 1 species